UAAAAGAUGUUUGUUUAAUUACUUUUUCAUAUAUUUAUUUGAUGGCAAUACAAUUGUUUAGAAUGUUGCAUUUAAAAUUGGCGCUUCAAAUUAGGGCUGAAAGCCUCCGAUAGAUGGCGGAAGUGUGAACUGAGGAUUUUCUAUGCACUGGCGCCAAAUGUCCUUAUGGAGUCGAUUUAAAUUGAAUAUUUAAGACUGAUGUGGCGUUUUAAAAGACCUGAAUGGUGUUGAAUACUGUAAUUUGGCGGAAAACGGGCGCGAAAUGCGGCCUGGAAGCGUCGAAUCGAGGCCUUGGCAGCCAGUCUCGAGUCUGCUCCGUUGAGUGUGAUGCCGCGCGCCGCCGUUGUUAUUGGGCAAAUGGACGAGUGCGUUGUUCGGCUGUUUUUAGGAAAGUCGCCAUUGUUGUUCGAUAAAAUACGCAUAAAUGUGCCGUUUGACGUAUUGACGGGCUCGAUUUGAUGUAGUUGGCCGUGUGCAUGGUGUUUGUGGUUGUGCUAGGAACGGUGACAGGGCAAAAGUAGGGCUCAAUCUGCGGAAAUUGUUAGUCAAAGUGGUGUAACGUUAGGUGCGUAUCCGCUCGGAGUGCAACCGAGGUACGUUUCAUAAGCUUGGAUCCGUCACGUGGGAGUGUGCCGUUUUGCUAACAUUCUGGGACCGUGUUCGCUGUAUCGGAUUUGGCCGUUUCGACUGAAAAUAUCGAAAAAUCGAAUAGGACAGCGUACGAACAUCGACUUAGUACAGACACGCAUAACCCGUACGGACGUCGUUUCCUAGUAAUUUCACUUGUAUGUUUUCGGCAUGGAAUUAGCCGGCGACUGACUAGUGUACGUUUUGGAAAUAAACCAAUAGUGUACUGAACCGCGGAAUUUCGUACAUGUUUAUUGAUCAACUGUCGUGUCCUUUUAUUUUAUUUCUAUGAUAUUGAUAUGAGAGAUUCUGUUAAAAACACUGGAUGAAUGGGAUUGCGUACAGCCUCGGUGAGGCGUCCCCAUGCGGCGGUCAUGGCCCCAGCCCUAACGGACGCGGCCCAAUCUCAGACGUUUAAAUUGCCACCAAAAGUCCCAGGAUCCCCCAUCAACGGAUACGAACCGCAGGAACCGUGUUGCAAGGGCUUUCAACGCCCUGAUGAAAUUACUGAUGAUAUAAUACAUGCUGUGGAUAGUCUCAAUACUCUAGCUUUGGCAUCAGAAACCCUUCUUAUUAACAAGUGUUUGACCAAUCUAGCUGGUGCCUCGGAUAACUCUGAGAAUAUAAUGAACAGCAGCCCACCACCUAUGGGCGACCAAGGGGAUAAAAUGGGCCUUCAAAAAACUGGAUUAGACACAGUUUCUAGUUUACAAAGAGAGAAAAGUUCUACGGAUGUGGACCAGUUAUUUAACAAUCUUUCUUCUGUUCUCCCAGAAGGUAUUACUAGUGAAUUGGGACAAAAUGAAGACGAUUUUAUGCAAGUCAUUAAAUCUAUAGAAGGCCAGAACAGUGAUGAAAGUGAGGAAUUUCAAAUUACUGGGACGGACCUUACCAAUAACCUGUCAUCAUUUGAAAAAGAACUCCUCAAUGAUGUAGAUCUCAUGACCAUGUCCACUGAUCAACCAGAUGAUUUGGAUAGUGUCAACAAUUUAAAAGAAACACAAACCAAAGAGUUACUUCAAGGUCUUCAGAAGAAACAUUCAAAACUGGAGCGUCGUUUGUAUAUGCUUAAAAAGCGUGUCCAUAAGAUACAAUCCAGGCACCUAGGUCAACAUAUCAGUGGGGAAGUGGCAGGAGUAUUUGAACAUGUACACAGGCAACUGAAAAAAACCAAGGAGGCACAAGAAACUCCCAAAGAUGCCAACCAACAGCUCUCGACACUCCCUCCACCAGGGGAAACAACAGAGGAAAAAACAGAGAAGGAAAAACCACAGCCAAUGUCAUAUAGUUCUACCAAGAACUUGGUCAGAAAACUGGAGAUGACCACAAUAUUACAGGCAAAUUCUGCAUCAAAACAAAAACAAGGUUCCAAAUAUUUUGGGUCUGGCUCAGUGGAACCUCCAACCUUCAAAAGUAAUGUUGCUAACAUGGUUAAUAUACCUCCUUGGUCCACAGAAGACAAAGUGGAAUUACAAAAAGUAACAGGACAACUGCAAUCUCAAAUUAAAAUGGUGCAGAAAGAAGUGGAUUCUGAAGCAACUGAAAGUAGUUCUGGUGGUGAGAGUUGUGAUGAACUGCAAAAUUACAAUAAUCCCCAUCAACAAUAUCUCAGCAUUCAAAAGAGGGCCCUAUGGAAGUACACGACGGACCGGGCUGCCAUAGCGGCGAGAUGGACGUGGCUCCAGGCCCAGAUCUCCGACUUGGAGUACAGGAUCAGGCAGCACACGGACCUCCACAAGCAGAUACGCUCGAAUAAAGGCGCCGUGACGUUGGGCGGCGCCAGUCCGCCCCACGGCGACCUCACCUGUCCGGCGUCGCCGACGACCGUCAACGGGUACAGGGCCCAGAUGUCGGACAACAACAACGUCCCGACGACGCCGGAGUCGGCGACCGCUUCGAGGAUGUCGGAGUGCGCGGGCGGCAGCGGUACCGCCAACGGGGCGUUGAACGUUGACUAUCAGUGUGCGAGGACUAGACCUUUAGUGAACUUUAGAAAAAGGAAAUUGCUGCAGACGUCCGGCCUGCACACCGUGUCGAAGAAGGCGGCGCGACCGAGCACGUUGCGGUGCGGGUGCGUGUCGCCGACUGUGCCUUGUGCCGUGUGCACCGGUCGUCAGGAUCCCACGCAUCCCAGGGACCCGCCGGAGACUCUCGGCGUCCAGGAGAGGAUCGCGCUCCUCGAUCCUUGCUAUCAUCCGGUGUUUUCGUUGCCCGACGAUGCUUCCAAGAACAUUCACAUGGAAGCCAUAAUGAAAACAUGGGAUUGGCAACAGAGGACUCAUAGAAUGAAAACUGUAAAAAUAUUGUCUCGACCGGAGAAACUCGAAAAGUCCUCGAUGGAACAUAGAUCUAAGAAAUUGGAACACCGAAAGAAGUACAACCGAUUAUUAAAACCCAGUACAAUGUCCGCCUUAUCAGCAAAACUCAAAAACAAACUGAAGGGCCGUAAAACAGGUCGCUACCCAAUGAACAGACUGAACAGGAAGCGGCACAACGCAAAAAUGGCGAUGUCGCAAAUGCACUCGCUCGCAUCAGACGAGGAGGUCGAGUCGAUCGGUAGCAACGGUUUCGGAUCCACGGGACGUUCGAUCGAUUCCCCGAAUUUGUCACCGUUACUGCAAAUGCAGUCGAUAUCGGGCUACAACAAGAAGAACCGCAUCGAUUCCUAUGACAUCGACAACAUCGUAAUACCGUACAGCGUGGCCGCCUCGACGCGCGUCGAGAAGCUACCGUACAAGGAAAUUCUGACGCCCAAGUGGAGGUUGGUUGAGCCAGAUGUGUCGACGAAGCCCGAAAUCAAAAAUAACGGCGCUGUACGAAAUCCUAGUCAGGACGAGGAUGUCGAGGAUCUUUCCGAAGAGUCGGUCAUCGCACGGCACGAUCGAUGUGAGCACGAUGAAAAAAAGAAGUUCCUGAGCUAUCUGAAACUACCAAUCGGUUACGGCCGUUCGCGGUCGCACAAACGCACCGACAGCCGGGCCGAGUCCAGCGGUGCGAACACCCCAGAUCCUAUGUCGCCCCAUCCAGUCGAACCGUACCACGCGACAUCCUCCGCAUCCACCUCAUCCGCCGGUGCGGCACAACAGGACGGCGGUUCCGCCUCGUCGGCUAUCGGAAAAACAGCGCACGGAAGUGCCAUGUCGCCGAUAACGUCACCGCCAGCUACGCCGCUACCUGUUCAGCCCGUGCAACAUCAGCAGCUUCAUGUUGCGUUCGCCGAGGAUGCGAUCGCGCAUCCGUCUUCGAGUAGCAUGUUGAGACGCAGGACCAUCUCUCAGACACGCUACGGAAGGGACAGGGAUCUGAGGGACGAAAGGUGUAACACACCGGACGUAAUUGAGGUGGCGCCAUACGAGCGUCGCACAUUCCCCCUGAACGAGGAGACGUACGAAAGGAUGCUGAGACACAUGCCCGAAGACCAUCAGUUCAAAACUAACAUACGGGCUCAGGAUUCCGAAUUCGUCAACUGCACGGAAUCGUAUCUGGACGAGAAGAUGCACUCGCCGGGCAGCGAGUCGACGGAAUCGGCGCUGGGCGAUGAGGACCCCAACGAUCCGGAAUGGAUCGACAUGGAACGGCCCAGGGAUCGGCACAAGAGAUAAGGACGUGGUCCGUGCCGGAGCUCCGUCAUUCCGUCGUCUCUUGUGCGGAUUUUACAUGUGGUGUAUGUGAAGUUAAAUGAAGAGUGGAUGAUCAAGAACUAGAGUAGUCAUUUUUAUUACAAUACAUUAGUUUUUUGUUUAUUUGUUGUGUUAAGGGCUAGUAUGAUUAUGAGAACAGUUGGUUUUAUUGUUUUAGGUGAGCUUAGGAUUUUGUAUUAAAAAGUCUGUGAUUGUGAUUAUAUAUGUAUAAAUAUUUCAAUACUGUUGUUGCUUUUUAGUAUUGUAAUAUGCGUUUAGUAAAAGCAAAAAUACAGAAUUCAAAGCUGUUCAUAUUUAAACUGAUUCAAUUAUUUUAUUGUAUAUCUUCAGUAUGAUAAUAUCAGUUUUGUUUAAUGUACUUUCCAGUCUUAUUUAAUUUUGUAAAACAAAUGUUCAUGUAAAACUUAAUUUUUCAUAUGUAUAACAAAAUAUAUCUCAUUAAUACAGUUUUAAAUUUUUAUAAGCAAAUUAUAUUUAAAAUUCAGUAAAUCAUUUAAUUAUCAGACUUCUAUUCUAUUUGAAAGUUAAUUACAAUAAUAAAAAUUACUGAGAUUUGCAUGAAUAUUUGAUUAUCAUUUUCAUUUCAAAAGUAAACACAAAGGUAUUUAAAACGAAUUUUAAUUUGUCCAGUUUUAAUACCUUUAAGGUUGCUGAAUUCUGAGUCUAAAUUUUUUAGCCUUUUUAAGUGGCUCUUUUAUAUGCAAAUAGAUUUGUUACUUGUCUAUAGCAUAUUCAUCUUCCUUAAAAAUUGUUAAAAUAAUAAAAAGUACUCUUCAUAAGAGUAAAAUGUAUUAUAGAAGUUAGAAUAUUUUAAUAUAUCAUAUGUAUUAAAAUUCUUAGAUUUAUAACUACUUUUUGAUUUAUAAAUUAUCUAUGAAAGUUGUAUGUUGAGAUAUUCUACUUGUAAAUUGUACAAUUAAUAAAAUUAAAGAGAAUAUUAUAUUUAUUUUCAAACGCUUAUGUAGCCAAAAAAUUCAGUUAAUUGUAGUGGUACAUACAUUUUUAUAUGCAAAUAU